rnacentral:lncRNA from 1 species
GGUACAGACAGGUCUUUAUUGUUGACAUAUUUUCUCAUUUAAUCCUUGAAGCAACCCUGAGGUAGGUUUUAUUAUCCCCACUUCGCAGAUGAGUAAACUGAUGUCCCUAGGUUAGGUUACUUGCCGAAGAUCACACAUUUACUAGUGGCAAAGCCACUGAUAAUUCCAAACCCAAGGGGACUCUUUUGAGUAGUUCACAGGCUGCUGCCAAGGAAAGUAGAGCAGAAAACUUCAAAGGGGAAGGACUGGAUCAUUGACUGGAGCUUGAGGGGCUCAAGCACCAGGGAUGAACGAGGCACAUUCACAGGCCAAGACCAGGACUCAGCAGGAGAAGCCUAGAGCCAUGUGCGAGUGGUCAAGCAGGAAGAGGUCUUGACGUUUGGUAAGAGCUGACAAUGUCAUCAAAUACACAUAGAGCUCAGCUUCCAGGGACUGGAGAAACAAGAAGGCCUCCAGCAGCUACCAGUCCAGGGACUGGCCACAGUCAGUCAGACUCAAAGAGAACUGAGAGGCCACAACAGUCUUCCAGACCCAGCAACCUUUGGCAUCUCAGUGGUAACUCCAUUCCAGCAAAUCACCCUGUUCCAGGCAGGGCAAGUCCAGGGAGAGCUGCCACAGAGUGAUGCCAUCCUAACUUGGCCUCAGUGCAGUAACCUCAGGGCAGUGGUCCUUUAACUUUGUUAAGGCCUUGAAAAUCUGACAAAAGCCAUAAAACCUCCCCACAGAGACAUACAGACACACAUGUACAAACAACAUUUUGCAUACAAUUUCAGGGAGUCCAUGGACCCCAGGUAGGGGGGACUCCUGCUUUAGGGCAAGGGUGUCACCCUGAGUAGUCACUGAUUGCAAACGUAUCUUUAUACUGCUCGUAUAUCCUAUGACUGUUCCCCUUCUGUUGUUCCCUAAUCAUUAGAAUGUUGUUGAUUUUUAAUGGGAGCCAAGGAAAUGGGGUACAGCCUACACUCCAGCCAGAGAAAGCAGCUGUGACAUGGCAGUGGUGGCAGCCAGGGGGUAAAAACAAAGAAAAGGAUGGGGUCAUGUGUACUGCUGCCCUUCCCACCCGGAAGGUCACUUUAGGAGCUUUUCUCUACUCAAAUUUAGAGUAAGGUUGUGGGGCAAUGGGGAGAGGGGCAGUGUUUCAGUUCCUUUUAGAAAGGAACGCCAUUCCCUCUAUGGCUACAGGGUCUAAAGUUCUGCAGGCAACGCCCCCAUUCCAAUUGUCUCCCUCCCCAUCCCUCAUAAAUAUUCCUAAGCAUCGGCCCAGUCAUUCAUGCACAUGUGGCCAGGUCUCUUAUGAACACUAUGUAUUUACACGUACUCUUUCAUGGAAGGAAAACUGAGAUGGGGAAGAUCUCAGGGCAGAGACUCCAUAUUGCAACAUGGGGAUCAUGCACUCCCCACAGAUUCAGAUAAACUUGAAGAAUAAGCAGAACCACCCCAAGGACUCAGGGCACAUUUGCCCCCAACCACCUCCAGGGCUCUUCCUUCCGGCCAGGCUCCAACCAGAAAGCAAAGUCAUAGCUAUGCCCUGUGCCCCAUCCCCAAAACUAAUGGGCCCAAGAUAGGGGGCCAGGGAUGAAGGUUUACAGGAGUUCAGAUGUUAGGGGGAAGCCCUGAUUUGCUGCAGAAAGCAGUUCUGAUUUCUCAUGGGAAUCAGGAAUCAGGCAAAGGUCUGGCCCCAAGCCCAUCCAGGCUCAGAGAGAACAGAUACUAAAAUCCAAGUAAUCACUCAUACUCAAAGAGAACUCAGAGGCUGGGAUGGUCUUCCAGGCCCAGUGACCCCCAGCAUCUCAGUGGUCACUCCGUUCCAGUGAUCACUUAUACACUAGUGGUCAUUUGCCCAGCUCUAGAUGGAUGUUUCAUCACAUGUGGCUAGAGGAGCCCCAGUUAGCCGAAUGUGGGCUGGGCUUGGGCAAGGAUCAAGCAGGAAGGGUGGUGAGAAUCCACCAAAGCCACUGCCCCUCUUGGCCAGGGCCAGCGGCAACCGCUCAUCUUCAGGAGAGGGGGAGGGAGGGUCUUGGCUGUAGCUUGUGGUCCCAGAAGGUGGAGCCCCCAGGUCCAGGCCCACCUUGUCUCUAGCCAGAAGUUCCCUCUGUCGCCGUCGCUGCUGACGCCGACCAAUCAGAAUGAGAGUCAGGGAUGCUGCGAGAAUCCCCAAGAAGAAGCCAGCCAGUCCCGCCCCCACUGUGUGGGCCCGGCUCGGAGCAUCUCGCUGGCUGCCCCAUACCAAGCUGUAAGGCUGCCCGGGACCCGGGCGGGGCCGCGCAGCAGAGGCCGGCAUCUUUGGCUCCGCCUGGCCGCGGGUGCGGCGCAAGCUACGGCCUCUGCUCAGGGCCCCGGGGCUACUGGCCUCGGCCCCACUCGGGUCCUCUCGGCUCGGUCCGGCUCAGCCUGAGGCUGAGGGAU